AGAGCGAACGCUGGCGGCAGGCCUAACACAUGCAAGUCGAGCGCCCGUAGCAAUACGGGAGCGGCAGACGGGAUAGUAACACGUGGGAACGCGCCCUUCGGUUCGGAAUAACUCAGGGAAACUUGAGCUAAUACCGAAUACGCCCUUACGGGGAAAGAUUUAUUGCCGAAGGAACGGCCCGCGUCCGAUUAGCUAGUUGGUGGGGUAAUGGCUCACCAAGGCUACGAUCGGUAGCUGGUCUGAGAGGAUGACCAGCAUCACUGGGACUGAGACACGGCCCAGACUCCUACGGGAGGCAGCAGUGGGGAAUAUUGGACAAUGGGCGCAAGCCUGAUCCAGCCAUGCCGCGUGGAUGAUGAAGGCCUUAGGGUUGUAAAGUCCUUUUAACGGGGAGAUAAUGACGGUACCCGUAGAAUAAGCCCCGGCUAACUUCGUGCCAGCAGCCGC
rnacentral:rRNA from 1 species